GCCUCGGUGGCCUAGUUCGGUUAGGGCACCGCCUUGGUAAGGCGGGAGUCGCGGGUUCAAAGCCCGCCCGAGGCUCCA
rnacentral:tRNA from 1 species